CGCGUAGGUGGCCCGUUAAGUGGCUGGUGAAAUCCCGGGGCUCAACUCCGGGGCUGCCGGUCAGACUGGCGAGCUAGAGCACGGUAGGGGCAGAUGGAAUUCCCGGUGUAGCGGUGGAAUGCGUAGAGAUCGGGAAGAAUACCAGUGGCGAAGGCGUUCUGCUGGGCCGUUGCUGACACUGAGGCGCGACAGCGUGGGGAGCAAACA
rnacentral:rRNA from 1 species